AAAGGCAAUUAGACCAUUGGGACCAUUUCCGACCUGGCGCCGCCAGCCCGGGAAGUGACAAGUACCGCUGGUGACGCCACUCGGCGAACGCAAGUGGAUAAAUAGAAACGUCUGCCACAGUGAAGAUGAAAGGAGACCCGCAGCUAAUGGCUCGGCAGUGAUGCGCCAGGUGUGGGCCUCGCUCGAAUGGGGAGGAGAGUGUGAAAACAGAGAGACACACACACUGGGAAAGGGAGACACCCAGACACAGAGGAUGCAAAUGGAAUUCCGCACACAGAAAAGGGAGCGCUUAAGGCGCGCAGCGAGUUCCACAGGGGCAACAGGACUUGAUGGCCUGAUUUGAAUUUGGAUUGGCUCUUCAUAGAAGAAAACAUCUUUUGGUUUGGCUUAUCUCCGGGCUAUUUCAGGUUAUUUACUGAGCAGCGGAAGAAGGAAGGAAAUUUCUAAUAGCGCGUGAAGCAAGGUAACCCUUCGAAAGCAAAGAGAGGUGACAGUCACCUUAGUGGAGUCCGCCCCGGUGCAUCUCUCCGCUGCAGCCCCGCCGACCUGCGGUCCUUCUCCUGCUGGGGCGAUCGGCUCAGAUGCCGCCAGUUCUUCGAGGAUUGGAAUUCUCUGAACUUCAAACGCUGUGGGUUUGGCUUCCGCCCGGCUAGGAGGGAUAGAGGGUGGCUGAGAAUCCUAGGGAGCCAAGGGGAGAUAAGACGCACCAGUCGUUUUAAAUGGAAUCUAAACCUUUGCUUGGGCCACCGAAUGUGGAUCCCCAUGGAAACAGCUUCGCUUCGCAAGAAAAUCCGGCUUGGGAGAGAGGCGGCUGCGGUCGUGGGAGCUGUCUAAGUGACCCGAGGCCCGUGGGGCGUGGUCGGCCGUGGUCCUGAGCCGUCCAGAGCACCUUUGCACAUGGCUGGCUGAAAGGCAAGGGUGAAAGUCCAGGGACCUGCUUUCUCCCGGGGAGAAGGGGUGAAUGCGUCGACUAGGGAAAGAAAAAGAAAUGAACUUUUCUUUCGUCAAAUGUAAGAACAAAGAGAGCAUCCUUCUAAAUAGUAAGAGUCUCCCAGCUGUCGUAGAUACUGUCCCCUUGUCCUCUGUGACCUUUCAGGUUGUGACAGGGAUUAUUUCCGCAAAGUUUCUGUGACUCUGGGUCUUCGCAGCUAGAGGGGUUGGCAGUGGGAGUAUCUAUCAGUCAGCUCCACUUCUCCCAAUACAGCUGUCCAGGCCUCUUUUUGAGCCCAGACUCACUGAGUGGUGCGCCCCUUGGGGGAACAUCCCCCGCCCGCGAGAAAAGGUUUACUGAAAGCCAAACUCCAGAGGUUCAGGCUUCCAGGAGUCCAGAGAUCAAAUAAUCUGGACCGAUUCCCUUCCCCUGCAGGCAGUGUUCCGCGCAGUGGGCAACACAGAACAGUUCUCCUCUUCAGAAGGUUGAGCUGGAGUCUUCGCAAACGCAGUUAGGAGAAGUGCUCAGCCUCUGGGCCUCCUGAUGCAAAGGGAACAGGUAUCUGAGGCAAGAAAUGGGGUGCUUCAUGGCCCCCAAUGCCUGAUACUUCUCAGAACCCCAAAGGUAUCCAGUCCUGCCUUUUCUUCCUCUGGAUCUGUUUGCUUAGUCUACUGAAAACCAGCGUCUAGUGACUUCCUGCCCCUAUUCUGUCUCUGCAGUCUAGAAGCCCAUCUCCCCACCCCCAUCUCACUGUGAAUACUGACAGCAGUGGGGAACAGACCCACCAUAGGACUGACACCCCAGGCUCUUCUCACCUGAGGCUAACUCUGUCCCUUUGGACAAGGCCUGGAUGAGCCCAGUGUAGUUUGUUCCCUCCUAUUCAAGGGAGUUCUUCAAUGUCUUCAUGGUACAAACCAUAGCUAGCUCCCUCCCGCCUUGCCCUAACAGAAGUAUCACAGCCUCUUUCAUCAUUACCAUUCUGAUACUUGCUAUUAUUACAAGGCUAGUUGACAUCCACGUCUCUACAUAAGAGUUCUUUACGAGUUUUAAUAGCCUGCAAGGCUUUUCUCCCUCAGUUGUAGGGUGACCAGUAGUCCUAACAAGUGGCCAUGGCAAGGCUGAGUGUCAGACCUAGGAUCCUCCUCCUGAGUCAUCUUCCUUCCUGUCCUUGGGGGAAUCUCUUCUGCUAUCAUGUUGAGAUAACACCCCACAGCCUUUCUGGAAUCUAGAUAGGUCUGUGCCCUCAGCAGGUCCUCCCUACCCUCAGGAGCACACUCCUGGAGAAAAGGCCCCUGGCCACAUUGAUGCCACCACUCCCCAACAUAGAUCCUUUCCCAGGAGGACAAAGAGUCCUGUGGUAAGAGCAGCACCAUUUUAUGCGUUUGUGUUUUUCAACAUCUACAGGCUUGGGUUGGGGGUGGGUGUAUGAAUUAUCCCUGGCUUGCAGCUGAGAAGACUAAAUGGGGAGAAAUACAUGCAUGAGUAAGAGGAUUCUGCCCACCCUACUCCCAGCCCUCCCUGCCAUGAAGACAACUCUCAGAGCAGCUCUUGGAAGCUGGGCUGUGUGGUAGAAUGCUUGCCUGGCUACCAUGAGGUACCAGGCUUGGACUAAGAAGCCAGCUUGGGCUUUUCAGCAGGGUCCUUUUGCUCCCACCUCACUCAUAGAAGAGGGGACAAUUCCUGGGACUCUGAGUACUCCCCUUGGACCUGCAGGUGAGGGAGAAAAGGCUGCAAACCACUUGGAAAUACUCCUUCUACAGGAUAGAGGCCAGCAGCUGGGUGAGGACUGUACAAGGGACUGUAGAAUCAAAAACAAAACAAACAAACAAAAAAACACAACAAAAAAACCCCAACCCAUGUGGUCAUGUGCAGGCCACUGGUACCUGAAAGUAAAACCUCUGAUCUUCGUUCAGAAUGCCCAAAUGUCAAUAUAAUUACUUACUUUGGACACCUUAAAGCACCUGCUCAUUCCAUGGC
rnacentral:lncRNA from 1 species